AAGGAUCAUUAAAAGAGAAUUCAGCUCUGAAGCGUAAAAAACUUCAGGGUUUGAACUUCCCAACCCUUGUUUAUACAAAUUAAAUUGUUGCUUCGGCGAAUUGAAUUAAUUUAUUCGUCUCGCCAGAAGAACCAAAUUAAACUAUUGUUAAAAAACACCUUGUCUGAAUAAUUGAACUUGGAUUAAACCAAGUAUAAUUAAAAUUUACAACUUUCAACAACGGAUCUCUUGGUUCUGGCAUCGAUGAAGAACGCAGCGAAAUGCGAUAAGUAAUGUGAAUUGCAGAAUUUUGUGAAUCAUCGAAUCUUUGAACGCACAUUGCACCUUUUGGUAUUCCGAAAGGUAUGCUUGUUCGAGCGUCGUUUAAACUAUAUCAAUUUAAUUAUUGAAUGUAUUGAGUAUGUUCUCUGUGAAACCAUCAGAGAUACUCCAAAACGAUUGAGCGAUCUUGAUUAGACUUGACUAACGCAUUAAAAUAACUAUCGUUAGAAGGAGGAAAUCAGGACCUGCCAGAUUUUAAAAAAAACAUGGACUUUACUGUUCAUGCUACCCUUUUUUAUUAUCGACCUCGAAUCAAGUAGGAUUACCCGCUGAACUUAA
rnacentral:rRNA from 1 species